rnacentral:sRNA from 1 species
CAGUGACCUGGGAGAGGCCACUCUGAAGAUUGUGGGCGUGACCACGGAAGAUGACGGCAUCUACACGUGCAUCGCUGUCAAUGACAUGGGUUCAGCCUCAUCGUCGGCCAGCCUGAGGGUCCUAGGUCCAGGGAUGGAUGGGAUCAUGGUGACCUGGAAAGACAACUUUGACUCCUUCUACAGUGAAGUGGCUGAGCUUGGCAGGGGCAGAUUCUCUGUCGUUAAGAAAUGUGAUCAGAAAGGAACCAAGCGAGCAGUGGCCACUAAGUUUGUGAACAAGAAGUUGAUGAAGCGCGACCAGGUCACCCAUGAGCUUGGCAUCCUGCAGAGCCUCCAGCACCCCCUGCUUGUCGGCCUUCUCGACACCUUUGAGACCCCCACCAGCUACAUCCUGGUCUUAGAAAUCCUGAGAAUAUCCUGGUGGAUGAGAGUUUAGCCAAGCCAACCAUCAAACUGGCUGACUUUGGAGAUGCUGUUCAGCUCAACACGACCUACUACAUCCACCAGUUACUGGGGAACCCUGAAUUCGCAGCCCCUGAAAUCAUCCUCGGGAACCCUGUCUCCCUGACCUCGGAUACAUGGAGUGUUGGAGUGCUCACAUACGUACUUCUUAGUGGCGUGUCCCCCUUCCUGGACGACAGUGUGGAAGAGACCUGCCUGAACAUUUGCCGCUUAGACUUUAGCUUCCCAGAUGACUACUUUAAAGGAGUGAGCCAGAAGGCCAAGGAGUUCGUGUGCUUCCUCCUGCAGGAGGACCCCGCCAAGCGUCCCUCGGCUGCGCUGGCCCUCCAGGAGCAGUGGCUGCAGGCGGGCAAUGGCAGAAGCACGGGCGUCCUCGACACGUCCAGACUGACUUCCU